CUGUUCAUCCAGAACCCAACGCUUUCAAUCCUCCUUUAUUCCUUCGUGAGUUAUGCGAUGAGUCGGCGUCGUCCUUUAUUCCUCCCUUUUGAAUCUUCAUCUUCCGAUUGAAAAAAAUCUGGAAACGUUACGGAGUUAGGCUGAUUUAAUGCGUCGUCUUUAACGCACUCAUUAGCCAUCCCUUUACUUUCUUUCUCAGAAUCUUCCACUAUAAAAAGGUGUGCUUUACCCCCCAAGAAAUUCAUCAUUCUAAUCUGAGCUUCCUAAGAAAAUAGCCAGGUCUAUCCUUAUCCCUUCUACGUCAUUCUAAUCUGAGCUUCCUAUAAAAAGGUUGGUCUUUGAUUUCAACCUCAAAGAACAAAGAUUUAUCAUCUUCCUUUGAUUUUUCUUUUUUCUACUAUCAGUGAUUUCCAUACCUCCUCAUUUGUUAGCAAAUUAAUGAUUUUUCGUAGCCCAUUAUUGGCUUUUUAUAUGCAUGAUCAAUCUGGGUUUACUGGUAAGCUAUCUUACCUUCCCUUUUUAUUUUCAGUGUGGAAACAAAGCCGAACCUGUUGAUUUAGAGUUAUACAUGUAUAUGUGUAUGGAAUUUUGAUUUUAUGGAAGGUGAAUGGGAAUAUAAGCUUUCUCAGAGGAAGACAACAUAUUCUGCUGGGAAGGAACAAUCACACGAAGAAAAUUUACAGGGUUUGAAGGUACUGAUUACAGAGUUAACGAAGACGAAAUAUUCUCACUCGCUUUCUCCAACGAUCAUCUUUUCAAAACCCCCAAAAUCAAAAUCAUGUUUGAGAAUUUCUGCUUCCAGUGUGGAUGUCUGACAAUAUUUGCUUCGAUUUUCUUGAGGAUAGAUGGUCAUCCGUUUGGUGUAGAAAUGUUCCACUUGAGACAUGUAUGCACAAAGUGACAGAAAAGUCAACAAAACGGGAAGCAGUUUGGUCUGAAAAGUAGCCAAAGUAGAGAUUGUUCAUCAUUGGUUGGAUUCUAAGGAAGAUGCAUAUGGAAAUCUGCACAAGAGGAUGUCAAAUUCAUAUUUCAAGGGUGUGGGAAUUGAUUGGUGGUAUGUGAGAAACGUUAUGGAUUGAGAGCUGUCUAUGCAGGUUUUGUUGCUGCAUUGAAGGAUCUGAAACUCUAUGUGAUUAAUGUAGUUCCCUCAAACUUAGGACCUUCCUUCAUGAUGAUUCAUCUACUCUCUGCACUAAAGAAGAUGUAGGUGCAGCUUGGUGUCUGUAAUGGCUGAAGUGGACAUAAUUCUUAGACCACAAGGAACAUUUAUAGUAAGAGAUGACAUGUAAAAGAUAGGAGAAAUUGAGAAUAUGGUGAAAUCACUGGAAAAAAAAAGAAUGACACGUUCCAAAUAUGGAGAAGGAGUGAUCUAUGUUCAGAAGUCAUGGUGGCGUCCUACAGUGAGGUCGAGACCAUUACACCAGCAAGAACAAGUGAAAGAGAAUUGGUUUAAUAUAGUUUAAUGAGUAAUAUUUCUUUUAUGAUCAUGUUGAUUGUUUAUGAGAAAACUGUUUACAAGACUUUGUCCCAAUAUUGUAAGCUUUUACAAGUU